rnacentral:rRNA from 1 species
GACGAACGCUGGCGGCGUGCUUAACACAUGCAAGUCGAACGAUGAACCCGGAGCUUGCUCCGGUGGAUUAGUGGCGAACGGGUGAGUAACACGUGAGUAACCUGCCCUUGACUCUGGGAUAACUGCGGGAAACUGUAGCUAAUACCGGAUACGACCCUCGGCGGCAUCGCCAGGGGGUGGAAAGAAUUUCGGUCAAGGAUGGACCCGCGGCCUAUCAGCUAGUUGGUGAGGUAACGGCUCACCAAGGCGACGACGGGUAGCCGGCCUGAGAGGGUGACCGGCCACACUGGGACUGAGACACGGCCCAGACUCCUACGGGAGGCAGCAGUGGGGAAUAUUGCACAAUGGGCGCAAGCCUGAUGCAGCAACGCCGCGUGAGGGAUGACGGCCUUCGGACUGUAAACCUCUUUUAGUAGGGAAGAAGCGAAAGUGACGGUACCUGCAGAAAAAGCACCGGCUAACUACGUGCCAGCCGCCGCCGUAA